AGCAGUCGCCACGGUAAUACGUAGGUGGCAAGCGUUGCCCGGAAUUAUUGGGCGUAAAGGGCUCGCAGGCGGUUUCUUAAGUCUGAUGUGAAAGCCCCCGGCUCAACCGGGGAGGGUCAUUGGAAACUGGGAAACUUGAGUGCAGAAGAGGAGAGUGGAAUUCCACGUGUAGCGGUGAAAUGCGUAGAGAUGUGGAGGAACACCAGUGGCGAAGGCGACUCUCUGGUCUGUAACUGACGCUGAGGAGCGAAAGCGUGGGGAGCGAACAGGAUUAGAUACCCCGGUAGUCCCUGUCUCUUAUAA
rnacentral:rRNA from 1 species